rnacentral:rRNA from 1 species
CCCUUAGAUGUUCUGGGCCGCACGCGCGCUACACUGAUACAUUCAACGAGUCUAAAACCUGCUCUGAUAGGGGUGGGUAAUCUUUUGAAUGUGCAUCGUGAUUGGGAUAGAUGAUUGCAAUUUUUCAUCUUCAACGAGGAAUGCCUAGUAAACGCAAGUCAUCAGCUUGCAUUGAUUACGUCCCUGCCCUUUGUACACACCGCCCGUCGCUCCUACCGAUUGAAUGAUCCGAUGAAUAUCAUGGAUUGAGGAUGCAAGUAGGUUCGCCUAUCUUCAUCUUCGAGAAGUGAAGUAAAUCUUAUCAUUUAGAGGAAGGAGAAGUCGUAACA